rnacentral:lncRNA from 1 species
CGCGGACCUGGGUGCGGCCUCUUCUAAGGAGUCUUCGAAGGGUCCGAGCUCUUCUCCCCUCGAAGGAAUGGGGACCCGAAAGUCGGAGACCUUGGGUCGCCCAGGACGAGGGGCAGCGUGCUCCCCGAGGCCCUGCUCUGCCCUCUCUUCUGCGCCCUGGCCGUCCUCCUGAGUGCCUGGGCCCUGGGCUUCUACUAUCCCCUUGCGCCGCACGCACGGCGGCGGCCGAGGGGCGGCUUGCUCAGUCCGCAGAGUCCCUUGAUCUGCCACCGCUGACACCCGCCUGGUCCUGGUUGUUGCCUUUUAGGGCCUCGAUGUGACCACUUAAGUGCACACGUGGCGGUGGCGCUGCUCUGGUGGACGGCAGGACAGAAGUGAGUCUGGAGAUGUGAGCUGAAGGACUCCCCCGCCCCCCAAUGGGACAGUCCCGGACUCUGCAGGGCGUAGAACAAUUCAGAUCCCCAAAGAAAAUGACUACAGUUGCUGGGCACAGCGUGUGAUUGGAACGGCCCCUGGGUGAAAAUUUAAAGACUCGAAAGAGCUUCAGGACCCCACCCCCGGCACCCACCGGAAAGGCGCCUGCGCAGAACCGAGAGCGCGGGUGGGAAGCGGACCCAACCAGGGGCAGGAGGCUGGCCGCCGGGUCAGCGCCUUCAGCUCCCGCGCGGUCAGCCCUGGGCUGCUGGAGCUCAGAAGGUGGAGGGCGACCACCGGGAUGGCGCACAGCCCUUCUCCGCGCCAGGCCCAGAGGGGCUCCGGAGCAACACUGCCGGUCCUCUCGGAGCUCCUCCCGCUCUGGGUAGGCCGCCCCUGUCUCGGGGCCGCAGGCUCUCCCCCUCCUAGCCUAGGAGCUCAACUCUUCACCUCUCAGGGUCAAGGGGCCCCUCAGCGCUCCGACUCUAAGGCGCGACUUGGGGUGCGGGAGCCGGGCGCGGGCGGGACUUGCACCCGCGCGGGGCGAACACUAACGCCCAUCCUUACAGCGGCCCAGGCCGGCCCCGCAUGGCUGAAAAUCGCAAGUCGUUAAAACAAGAGUCUUUCGGUCAGCCCGUGCCCCCGUAUUGCGCCAGGGGUCAUGGAUGCCCUUGCCCUCCUCCUGAUCUCGGAGGGAAGAGGCCAAGGCUGAGGGCACCUUUGCGGGCCUCAGACCUGAGCGGCGGUGAGCAGCUCCGGCCAGCUAACUUUGAUCAGCCUUAUUAAUUCCAGCUGAGCUCUAUUUGUUUGUCAUUUUCCUCUUUUCCUGUGGAAUCAUUAUUUAUUGCAAAAAAAUAAAAGGUGCCCGCUGGUAGAAAGGAGGCAGGGAGCGAAUUUCUGAGAACCUCAGGGCAAGUGUGAGUGUUUCCUCUUAAAGGUCACCUAAGGAGGGGAGGGAAAAGGGUGGGUCUGAUCAGCUCUACUUGGAAUUCAUUACUCAAGAGCUUUAACUAAUUACCAGAUCAGAGAAAUGUAAAAGCAAAUAUUUCUUAAAAUAACUGAAGGUAAUUAUAACCCUGUUGUUGACACUAACGAUUAAUAAUUGAUCAGGAGUUACACACAAUAAAUUGUCAAUUUAUCUCCCCACAAAAAUGCAAGGCUUGUGUAGCAUUGUGUUUUCUUCUCCCCUCUGGGCAUUUCCUAUGAAGAUGGACUGGAUUUGGAGGCAGACUGGAACCUCCCAGUCAAUUCUUUAAGAAUAUUAGAUUAGAAUAACAUAAGACUGA